GAAAUAACGCGGCGCGACACACAUCUCGACGCUGCUGUUGCCGAGAUGUUUUCACGUGUCUUGCCUCGCGGGGCAAUGAAUCUUAAACGAGCUUCUUUUCUCUCUGCAACAAUACUGCACCCAAAGUCACCGGGGGAAAACGAGGCUGCCGUAAUAAGGAGAAGCGUGAUCAUUAAUUAAAAGAACUUGUACGCUAUCAAUUUCCAGUUGAAAAGUAUAAAUCUUGGUGAGUGCGGUAAUGUGUUUUUCUGCACUUGUCUCAAUGGAGAGAUCUUGGCUCUUCUUUCAAAGUAAAAUUUCAUUACGGGUAGCACACAUGGCUUCUUUAUUACACUCUAGAUAUUUAGCUGAUUGGAAAACAUGUUCCAUUAUUUUAUUGAAUUUAUAUUUACAAUUUAUUUUUGUUAAAUUUAAUUAUUAUAAACAAUAAUUUCAAUUAAUUUGUAAGUAAUUUGAGUUAAAUAAUUAAGAAAUACAACGAAUGACUUGACUUGAAAUUUUUUCCAUAUAAAAAAAAUAAAAAUAAAAAUUGAAAUUUAAGCAAAUCUAAAUAUCCUUCAAUAAUUCACUCAAAUUUAUUUUUUCACUCUAAUGCAAGUUCAUAAUAUUAAAAUACACUUGGUUAGUUAAAGCGAGAGUCGGUAAAAGUUUAUAAACGACGCACCUGCAUUGCACCAGCUCUCAUUCAUCUCCGAUUCAAAUAGAUUUGAGCUUUUGAAUUUUUUUGAAAAGCGUCAAGAGCAUCGCCAAAUGCAUUUCUACGCCCAUUUGCUACACCCUGUCCCCUAUUCCUCCCCUCGCCAUCAGAAACCUGAUAUUUAAUAAUGAGCUCGACUUAAUUUCUGUCGGCGUUGAGAAAAAUUGGCCAUGAAUAAUUUCGCGAGCCUUUUGAAGCCGAAAACUGGUUUCCAAAAGAGCAAAUAUUUUUCUCACAAGAAGUUUAUAUAAGGCAGAUGCUGCGCAAAGGUAUAGAGAGUGAAAAGAUCUUGUCGCUUAUGGUAUGGAGUAAAUUGUGUGGCGUGUCUCUCUCAACACAAAAAGAGCAGGGGGAUAGAAACUCAUUUAUUUUGCCAAAAAGGCGCUGAGUCACCGCGGUGUUAUUUUAAACGCUUUUUGCACUGCAUUAAUAUAUAUUGUGAUUGAAAAAUUACGUCUGCUUCGUGUAUUAACGACACAAUCGUGUAAUGAGGUUGCGUGAUUGAGACGCAUGUAUAAAAGAAAAACAGAGUCUGUGAAAAGAGCAUGAUUAAAAGAGUAAUAAUGCAAGAGCUAAAUUUGAUUUCUUUGUUGCAGCAUGUCAUAAUUUGCAACGGGGCAUAAUGAAGGGUCUUAUUAGCAUGACAAAAAAAUUUGAAUAUGUUUAGCAUGAGUUAUUGAAUACCUCAUUAUAAGAAAUAUUUUUGAAUAGGAAACGCACCAUCUUAAAUUUAUUGCCAUAAUCAAUUAAACACUAAUUUUCAGCAUGUUCUUCAAUCAUUCAUGAUUAUUAAUCAAAUUUCAAUCAGAAGUAAAAGGAGUAUUGCAUUGAUUCUUUUAUUUUAUGCUGUUUGCAGCGAAUUAUGAAAAUGAUCAAAUAUUAAUAAAGAAAGUUCAGACACAGAAUAACCAGGAAGUUGCAAGUUUUACAAUUAAAUAUAACAAUAACAGAGAAGCAUUUUUUAUGAAACAUAAUUUCUGGUAAAUAAUUUAAGUUUUAUCUGAGAGCACACGCAGAAAUUUUUUGUCCGACUGAAAACGUCUGGACGAAUUUUAUCCGAUGUCUCUACUAGUCUGUACGAUUUGGUCAGAUAAAACUGUAGUUUUAGAACUUCUAAAAACAAAACGUAUGCUCUGUCCGUUUCAGUCGGACAGAUUUUUCCAAACGCUUGAAGAUCCGAUACAAUGUACGGCUUUGCGCUGCUACUGCAGCCAAUUUCAAAACUGCUAGAAUGUCCGAGUUGGAAACGGACAGGCUAUCCGAGAAACUUGUAACCGCGCUUCUCGAGAACAAAGGAUAGCCUUUCGGGGGGAGGUUUUGGCGACAGGCAAGCACUCAGGGUCUGGGGAUUUUCGAUAAUUUUCGAUAUCCCAGGCAUUUCUCAGGUUUGAAAACACCAACGGUCACUUCAGCGUCAGUCGAGAGAGCUCUCUUCAUAAGGAAAGAUCUGUGUUGCGGAGAGAAAAAUUGAAAACUCAACGAAAAACUUCUAUAAUUGAAAAUUUCCACGUUCUGGCCUCAACUGUGACGCUCGCAAAAUGAAAAUACGUUUCCUGGUGCAAGUUAUAUUAUACAAGAACUAGAAAUGAACAUCAACUGCCAGAAAGAGCUGCUUGGCUUCACCGUGGAUAUUUACUACAAUUACUACCAGAAAAAACCACUAGAGUUUGACAUGAAAUCUGAGAAAAUCAAGCAAUCAAAAUCAUCUCUAUAGCUUGGGCACAUCUCUGGCAAAGCGCGAGUGCAAGAAGAUGAACUUUUCCUCAGAACGUUAAGUAGUACUGUUCCGGCAAUCCGGUUUCAUUUAUUCAGUAAAAAAAUAAUAAUACAUUUACAUUUUUUUAAAUCAAUGUGUGAUGCAAAAUUUUCUGUGGUUGUCGUUUUCAAAUGCUUGAUUUUUCCAUACCUCUAAAGCAAUUUUUUUAUUGAUAAUUGUCUCAAAAGUGCUGUGUUAUUUUCUCUUUCAAAUAUGCAUAUCAAAACUUAAUUUCAACAACUUUUGCAGUUUGUUACUUGUAUUUUGCUAUUUUCUUGUGUUAUUUUGUACUUUGUGAAUUUUUGUGUUAAAUAAAUAUUUCUAUACUGAAAUUAUCCAUGCAUUAUUACUUGUACCAUAUAUACAAUUAAGAAAACGCAAAGAGCAAGAAAUAAUAAACGAAUGGAACAGAAUAGUGAAGUCGGACAAUUUGUCUGUGUUGGGUCGUAAGCGCGUUGCGUUCUCCUCUCAUUUAAUCCAGGCAACCCAACUCGGACAAAAUAGGAGAGUUGAAAGCGUACAGAGCUUCCGAGCGCUGUCUCCUAUCUCGUAUGU